rnacentral:rRNA from 1 species
UGCCAGCCGCCGCGGUAACACGGGGGGCGCAAGCGUUAUUCGGAAUUAUUGGGCGUAAAGGGCGCGCAGGCGGUCUUGUCCGUCAGGUGUGAAAACUCUGGGCUCAACCCAGAGAGGCCACUCGAUACUGCUAUGACUAGAGUACGGUAGGGGAGCGGGGAAUUCCUGGUGUAGCGGUGAAAUGCGCAGAUAUCAGGAGGAACACCAGCGGCGAAGGCGCCGCUCUGGGCCGUAACUGACGCUGAGGAGCGAAAGCGUGGGGAGCAAACCGGAUUAGAUA